UUACGGCCGUAUCAUGUUGGAACACCGCUUCUCGUACGAUCACCGUAGUUAAGCAACGUCGAACCUGCUCAGUACUCAGAUGGGUGUACAUUUGGUAAUACUAGGUGCGGU